UACGUAGGGUGCGGGCGUUAAUCGGAAUUACUGGGCGUAAAGCGUGCGCAGGCGGUUUCUUAAGUCAGAUGUGAAAGCCCCGGGCUUAACCUGGGAACUGCGUUUGAAACUGGGAGACUUGAGUGUGGCAGAGGGGGGUGGAAUUCCACGUGUAGCAGUGAAAUGCGUAGAUAUGUGGAGGAACACCGAUGGCGAAGGCAGCCCCCUGGGUUAACACUGACGCUCAUGCACGAAAGCGUGGGGAGCAAACAGG
rnacentral:rRNA from 1 species